GAUGAACGCUGGCGGCGUGCCUAAUACAUGCAAGUCGAGCGAAUGGAUUAAGAGCUUGCUCUUAUGAAGUUAGCGGCGGACGGGUGAGUAACACGUGGGUAACCUGCCCAUAAGACUGGGAUAACUCCGGGAAACCGGGGCUAAUACCGGAUAACAUUUUGAACCGCAUGGUUCGAAAUUGAAAGGCGGCUUCGGCUGUCACUUAUGGAUGGACCCGCGUCGCAUUAGCUAGCUGGUGAGGUAACGGCCCACCAAGGCAACGAUGCGUAGCCGGCCUGAGCGGGUGAUCGGCCACACUGGGACUGAGACACGGCCCAGACUCCUACGGGAGGCAGCAGUAGGGAAUCUUCCGCAAUGGACGAAAGUCUGACGGAGCAACGCCGCGUGAGUGAUGAAGGCUUUCGGGUCGUAAAACUCUGUUGUUAGGGAAGAACAAGUGCUAGUUGAAUAAGCUGGCACCUUGACGGUACCUAACCAGAAAGCCACGGCUAACUACGUGCCAGCAGCCGCCGUAA
rnacentral:rRNA from 1 species